GUGGGGAAUUUUGCACAAUGGGCGCAAGCCUGAUGCAGCAACGCCGCGUGUGUGAUGAAGGUCUUCGGAUUGUAAAGCACUUUCGACCGGGACGAACACCCAUUGGCUAACAUCCAAUGGUCUGACGGUACCGGGAGAAGAAGCACCGGCUAACUCUGUGCCAGCAGCCGCGGUAAUACAGAGGGUGCAAGCGUUGUUCGGAAUUAUUGGGCGUAAAGCGCGUGUAGGCGGCGACGUAAGUCGGGUGUGAAAUCCCUCAGCUUAACUGAGGAAGUGCGCCCGAGACUGCGUUGCUCGAGUACCGGAGAGGAUGGCGGAAUUCCCCAAGUAGAGGUGAAAUUCGUAGAUAUGGGGAGGAACACCGGUGGCGAAGGCGGCCAUCUGGACGGUCACUGACGCUGAGACGCGAAAGCGUGGGUAGCAAACAGGAUUAGAUACCCCAGUAGUCC
rnacentral:rRNA from 1 species